CUUGGGUGACGAGUGGCGGACGGGUGAGUAAUGUCUGGGGAUCUGCCCGAUAGAGGGGGAUAACCACUGGAAACGGUGGCUAAUACCGCAUAACGUCGCAAGACCAAAGAGGGGGACCUUCGGGCCUCUCACUAUCGGAUGAACCCAGAUGGGAUUAGCUAGUAGGCGGGGUAAUGGCCCACCUAGGCGACGAUCCCUAGCUGGUCUGAGAGGAUGACCAGCCACACUGGAACUGAGACACGGUCCAGACUCCUACGGGAGGCAGCAGUGGGGAAUAUUGCACAAUGGGCGCAAGCCUGAUGCAGCCAUGCCGCGUGUAUGAAGAAGGCCUUCGGGUUGUAAAGUACUUUCAGCGGGGAGGAAGGCGACGGGGUUAAUAACCGCGUCGAUUGACGUUACCCGCAGAAGA
rnacentral:rRNA from 1 species